GGAGGGAUCAUUCUGUCUUUUUUUUCGGAUUCAUUAAUUUGAACUUGAAUUGAACGUGGAGCUGGACUUUACUUGCGUCUACCUUUCAUCAACUACAACCUAUUUAAUUUACAAUCUGUUCAACCUCGCUGGCGACUCCUAAUAAAGUCAACAGCAAACACAACAAAUAACAAACGACUCGCAACAACGGAUAUCUUGGUUCUCGCAACGAUGAAGAACGCAGCGAAAUGCGAAACGUAAUGCGAAUUGCAGAAUCCAGUGAAUCAUCAAAUGUUUGAACGCACAUGGCGUCCUUGCGAGCUGCAAGGGCACGUUUUUAUGAGAGUUGUUUCACCUAUUUCCUGGACAUUUCUUGUAAUGAGAAGUGGCUCGGAAGACCUGCCUCUCUUCUCCCCUCGUGGGAAGAAGAGAAGUGAAAGCCAGAAAAGCCUCGGACUCGACCGCGCGCUGGACUUGACAGCCCCGACAGUGGAUACUGCUUCAUUAUGAGGCUCUCUUCUGCUCGUUGGAUUACGCUUUCGUCAGGUUUAGAUACUAUAGGCGCAUGGUCAUCAUAGCUUCUUCGGAAGCAAGUCCUGACGGCUUACACAACCCCCCCCUUUUGUCCUCACCGUGCCUUCGGCACUCUGACUACAAAAACACACACAACAAAAGACCUCAUAUAAAACGAGAGAACCCGCUGAACUUAAGCAUAUUAUUAAGCGGAGGAAAAGAAACUAACAAGGAUUCCCUCAGUAGCGGCGAGUGAAGCGGGAAGAGCUCAAGUCGAUAAUCCCCGGUCCACGCGGACCGCUCGGGAAUUGUAACCUCGAGACUCGUCGUCAUGGCACAGCGGAAAACAAAGUCCCUUGGAACAGGGCGUCGGGGAGGGUGACAACCCCGUCCACUGCUUUCCCCAAGUUGAUCCAGGUUCGACACGAGUUCGCAGAGUCGCGUUGCUUGGGAGUGCAGCGCAAAGCGGGUGGUACACGUCAUCCAAAGCUGAAUAUGGGCGAGAGACCGAUAGUGGACAAGUACCGUGAGGGAAAGAUGAAAAGCACUUGGAAACGAGAGUGAAAGAGAGCUUGAAAUUGUUGCGAGGUAAGCAUUGGCGAUUUGGUUUAUUAGGUGUGUGGUUGGGUUUGCAUGCGGUGGGGUGCUUGGUUGCGGGCGCGGAGAGAUGUCAAAGUCCUCCGCCCCACACGGGCACUUCAUCGCUAGAUACUCCAACCACUGCACCCGUCUGCACUCUUUUCUCUUGGUCUAGAAGGUCCCCAGGCAGGUAGCGUCCGGACGGCGACAAACCGACCCCGCGACGAAUCAUACAGCCCGAGGCACCCCGUACCUGAGAGAGAAGAUCCCGGGUCGAUUCGCCCCGGCAACCCCAAGGACCGUCCCACUGAGGCGGCCAGUCGUGCGUGUCAUGUGGCCGAGGCAACGCUUCGUCCAUGUGGCUCACGUAGGGCUCGGCCGCCGAGGUCAGUCUUUGGAAGCAGCGGACGCAAGUUUCGAAGCACCGUCGUACGACGGCGAAAAAGGCCCGCCAGUGACCCGUCUUGAAACACGGACCAAGGAGUCCAACGUGUGUGCGAGUGUUACCCUGGUUCAAGUGGUGGCGCGUAGUGAAAGCAAAGCUUGCCCUCGUGGCGAGUGAGGUGUGAAUGGCGGGUUUGUGGGUGUGUCAAAAGCACCCGCCCCCCACGCAACAUCGGCCGGCCUCGGUGAUGAUGACUGAGCACGAGCACCCAUGUUGGGACCCGAAAGAUGGUGAUCUAUGCCUGAGCAGGGCAAAGUCAGUGGAAACUCUGAUGGAGGCUCGCAGCGAUACUGACGUGCAAAUCGUUCGUCGGAUUUGGGUAUAGGGGCGAAAGACUAAUCGAACCAUCUAGUAGCUGGUUCCCUC
rnacentral:misc_RNA from 1 species